rnacentral:lncRNA from 1 species
CUUUUAUAAGGAUGAUGUGACAAGCUUAAGCUGGCAAGUUGCUCCAACCUUUUUCACCAAUUAUAUAGCAUUGUAAAGAGGCAAAUCCUGAGAACCUGUGCCUUUAGAGGUAUUUAAAUUCUUAAUUCCCAGUGCAAUCGCUAGCAAUUAGGCUCUUCGGCAUCCCUGAGGAUCUGGGCUGGGGUCUUUGCUCAGUUAUGGCUCAAGUAGUCUGCUGUUGGCUUUAAUCAAUUUUUUUUUUCCUGUCUCAGCUGUGUAUUUAAAGCUUCUGAUCUUGCUUCUCAGAAACUACCAAUGAAAUUGUAGCUUUUUUAAAAAAUCUUGAAUUAUUAGACUCUGUUGCACAAUUUUCAGUCCCAGGUUUCAGAAGGCGUAACCUGUUGCACCUAAGGACAUGAAAGGCAGUACAGGAACAAAGCUGCCUGAUUCUAUUGAAAGGAGGCACCGAGAGCUUUCUACGGGUGUCUGCAUAAAGCAGGACCGCAGGAGAAGCAGCGAGCGUGGAUGUUGUGGUAGCAGAUGCAGAGCGGCGCCGUGGGAGAGCAGGGUUUAUUCUUGUCUUUCACAUCUUGAUGGCUUCCCGCACUGCACCACCCUGCUUUUCGACUGUGGAAAACAUCUGGGACGGGGUCCUGGACCCCUCCUUAAAGAGCUGGGAUUUGAAGAAAGGUUUUCUUAUUCGUGGAAGACAGUACAAGACAAUAUAUUAGGAAUAUUGAAACUCUGAAGCGAGAGAGAGACUUAAGUUCCAGGUGCUGAUCUUGUGACAAUCCUGUGCAUAUGCCAAGUGAAGAACAUGUUGUUUAAGGAAAAACCUAGUUAUAAAUGUGUACAAGCUGAAAUUCUGUUUCCAGUAAUUUGAUGGAAUGUGCUGUCUGCAUGGAUUUUGUUUCCUGCUGAGAAGUAUGUACUGCAAAUAUAUCUGCUGUAUAUUAUCUUCGCCACUGUGCAGCACAGUGUGUAGGAAAGACGCCUCUUUAAAAAUUGGAUACCUAAUUUUUUGCUGCUUCAACAUAAUGAAGGAUUCAGAGAUGGUUUGUUUUGCUCUGAAAGUAUUUCUGGUUUGGGGUUUUUUUGCAGUGUCAUAUCUGAUGAGAAGGGUAAAGUAUACUUGAAUCUUCAGCUAGAAGAUCCUCUGCAGUCUGUUUAUCAGCCAUGGGAAUUCAGUUGGGGUUAAAAAUAAUCACACAUUGAGCAGUCUGAUUAAAAUUCCUAUCCCACUUAUCUUCUUUUCUAUGUGAUAAUUUUCAUUUUACUAGCUCUUCAGUAAUCGUAGUAUCUUUCAAAAGUAGCAAAAAUUGGAAUUUAUAUUUUACCAGAAGAAAUUAUGGAAAAAUAAACAUUUUCAUGUUUGUUUAUUAUUAUUUUUA